rnacentral:ncRNA from 1 species
GCGUUAACGAUGAAAGGGACAGUAGCUCUUUCAACGCUUAUUUCAGCGAGCUGGGGAUGGUGGAAGCCUGGCAUAAGCGAAAGAGUGAAGAUCACCCUGGAGUUCCAUGCUGAACGGAAAAGUAGGCAGUGGCGUGUCAUUCACGUUACGAAUGCAAAGUGGGCUAUGGCAUACAUAGCCAAUAAGGGUGGUACCGCGAGACCGUUCUCGUCCCUUUU